AACGAACGCUGGCGGCAUGCCUAACACAUGCAAGUCGAACGAGACCUUCGGGUCUAGUGGCGCACGGGUGCGUCACGCGUGGGAACCUUCCCUUAGGUUCGGAAUAACUCCCCGAGAGGGGUGCUAAUACCGGAUAAUGUCUUAGGACGAAAGAUUUAUCUCCUUUGGAUGGGCCCGCGUGGAAUUAGCUAGUUGGUAGGGUAAAAGCCUACCCAGGCGACGAUACAUAGCUGGUCUGAGAGGAUGAUCAGCCACACUGGGACUGAGACACGGCCGAGACUCCUACGGGAGGCAGCAGUGGGGACUAUUGGACAAUGGGCGAAAGCCUGAGCCAGCAAUGCCGCGUGAGUGAUGAAGGCCUUAGGGUUGUAAAGCUCUUUUACCCGGGAUGAUAAUGACAGUACCGGGAGAAUAAGCGACGGCUAACUCCGUG
rnacentral:rRNA from 1 species